AUUGAACGCUGGCGGCAUGCCUUACACAUGCAAGUCGAACGGCAGCAUGAUCUAGCUUGCUAGAUUGAUGGCGAGUGGCGAACGGGUGAGUAAUACAUCGGAACGUGCCCUGUAGUGGGGGAUAACUAGUCGAAAGAUUAGCUAAUACCGCAUACGACCUGAGGGUGAAAGUGGGGGACCGCAAGGCCUCAUGCUAUAGGAGCGGCCGAUGUCUGAUUAGCUAGUUGGGGAGGUAAAGGCUCACCAAGGCGACGAUCAGUAGCUGGUCUGAGAGGACGAUCAGCCACACUGGGACUGAGACACGGCCCAGACUCCUACGGGAGGCAGCAGUGAGGAAUUUUGGACAAUGGGGGCAACCCUGAUCCAGCAAUGCCGCGUGUGUGAAGAAGGCCUUCGGGUUGUAAAGCACUUUUGUCCGGAAAGAAAUCGCACUUACUAAUAUUAGGUGUGGAUGACGGUACCGGAAGAAUAAGGACCGGCUAACUACGUGCCAGCCGCCGCCGUAAAAC
rnacentral:rRNA from 1 species